ensembl:lncRNA
AUGAUCUCUUCCAGGUCAGUGGCAGAGUUAAACAGUCCCUCCAGUCCUCUGUCAUCAAUGCUUGAAGACCAGGAAAUCAGACAGCAUCAAACCAGAGGGAGAUGUCCAUUCCCUGCCCAGCCUGUGACUGUUUCAUCUCAGACGCAUCCAGAUGGCCAAACAGGAGCAGAACAUGAAAGCAACUCAUUAGCUUUCAGUGAUACGGCUUAAUCAAACCCGGACACAACUCAAUCAACGUAAAUGAUCCACUACCAGAAUAAAGAAACACACAACUCAUUUAAUCA